GACGAACGCUGGCGGCGUGCUUAACACAUGCAAGUCGAACGGAAAGGCCCUGCUUUUGUGGGGUGCUCGAGUGGCGAACGGGUGAGUAACACGUGAGUAACCUGCCCUUGACUUUGGGAUAACUUCAGGAAACUGGGGCUAAUACCGGAUAGGAGCUCCUGCUGCAUGGUGGGGGUUGGAAAGUUUCGGCGGUUGGGGAUGGACUCGCGGCUUAUCAGCUUGUUGGUGGGGUAGUGGCUUACCAAGGCUUUGACGGGUAGCCGGCCCGAGAGGGUGACCGGACACAUUGGGACUGAGAUACGGCCCAGACUCCUACGGGAGGCAGCAGUGGGGAAUAUUGCACAAUGGGCGGAAGCCUGAUGCAGCAACGCCGCGUGCGGGAUGACGGCCUUCGGGUUGUAAACCGCUUUCGCCUGUGACGAAGCGUGAGUGACGGUAAUGGGUAAAGAAGCACCGGCUAACUACGUG
rnacentral:rRNA from 1 species